rnacentral:rRNA from 1 species
UACGUAGGGUGCGAGCGUUGUCCGGAAUUACUGGGCGUAAAGAGUUCGUAGGCGGUUUGUCGCGUCGUUCGUGAAAACUUGGGGCUUAACUCCAAGCGUGCGGGCGAUACGGGCAGACUUGAGUACUACAGGGGAGACUGGAAUUCCUGGUGUAGCGGUGAAAUGCGCAGAUAUCAGGAGGAACACCGGUGGCGAAGGCGGGUCUCUGGGUAGUAACUGACGCUGAGGAACGAAAGCGUGGGGAGCGAACAGG